rnacentral:lncRNA from 1 species
CAGGGCUGGGGAAGCUGGGUGGGGCAGGGGUGUGGCGGCGAAGGGCUGGGAGGAGCAGAGUCAGGGUCAGACAGUGUGGAGGAGGGAGCCAGCCCUGAGAAAUGGCAACGGAGAAGGAGAAGAUAGAGCCCAGAUGAGAUACUUUGAGGAAACAGAAUCUGCAGAGCUCAGAAAGAAUUGGCUGUGGAAGCAAAGUAAAUGGGAGAUAUCCGAGGGUCCUUUUCUGCCAGGGAGACGUCAGGUGGAGAACCCUUCACUGUGUCCCCAAGCCUCAUCUGUCACCUUCUCCAGCUCCAUCUGGGCUUCCGGAGAGAGGGCUGCAUGAUCGAAACAGUGCAGGUGGCUGGAUUUGGCUGAGAUGCUCAGUGCAGUGUCUGCUGGGAAACAAUUCUCUGAUACCUGCUCAUCCGCCUGCUUUCCCACGAAAGAAGCCAUUGUCCACAGCCUGCUAAUAUCAAGCGAACACCAGG